rnacentral:rRNA from 1 species
AGUGAACGCUGGCGGUAGGCCUAACACAUGCAAGUCGAACGGCAGCACAGUAAGAGCUUGCUCUUACGGGUGGCGAGUGGCGGACGGGUGAGGCAUACAUCGGAAUCUACUUUUUCGUGGGGGAUAACGUAGGGAAACUUACGCUAAUACCGCAUACGACCUACGGGUGAAAGCAGGGGAUCUUCGGACCUUGCGCGAUUGAAUGAGCCGAUGUCGGAUUAGCUAGUUGGCGGGGUAAAGGCCCACCAAGGCGACGAUCCGUAGCUGGUCUGAGAGGAUGAUCAGACACACUGGAACUGAGACACGGUCCAGACUCCUACGGGAGGCAGCAGUGGGGAAUAUUGGACAAUGGGCGCAAGCCUGAUCCAGCCAUACCGCGUGGGUGAAGAAGGCCUUCGGGUUGUAAAUCCCUUUUGUUGGGAAAGAAAAGCAGCAGGUUAAUACCCCGCUGUUCUGACGGUACCCAAAGAAUAAGCACCGGCUAACUUCGUG